rnacentral:rRNA from 1 species
CCUACGGGGGGCAGCAGUGAGGAAUAUUGGUCAAUGGACGAGAGUCUGAACCAGCCAAGUAGCGUGAAGGAUGACUGCCCUAUGGGUUGUAAACUUCUUUUAUAUGGGAAUAAAAUGUUCCACGUGUGGGAUUUUGUAUGUACCAUAUGAAUAAGGAUCGGCUAACUCCGUGCCAGCAGCCGCGGUAAUACGGAGGAUCCGAGCGUUAUCCGGAUUGAUUGGGUUUAAAGGGAGCGUAGGUGGAUUGUUAAGUCAGUUGUGAAAGUUUGCGGCUCAACCGUAAAAUUGCAGUUGAAACUGGCAGUCUUGAGUACAGUAGAGGUGGGCGGAAUUCGUGGUGUAGCGGGGAAAUGCUUAGAUAUCACGAAGAACUCCGAUUGCGAAGGCAGCUCACUGGACUGCAACUGACACUGAGGCUCGAAAGUGUGGGUAUCAAACAGGAUUAGAGACCCGUGUAGUC